rnacentral:rRNA from 1 species
UACGUAGGGGGCAAGCGUUGUCCGGAAUUAUUGGGCGUAAAGCGCGCGCAGGCGGUUAAUUAAGUUGGGUGUUUAAGCCCGGGGCUCAACCCCGGUUCGCAUCCAAAACUGGUUGACUUGAGUGUAGGAGAGGAAAGUGGAAUUCCACGUGUAGCGGUGAAAUGCGUAGAGAUGUGGAGGAACACCAGUGGCGAAGGCGACUUUCUGGCCUCUAACUGACGCUGAGGCGCGAAAGCGUGGGGAGCAAACAGG